AAACAGUACAGGCAAGCAAAUGACAGAAGCUGUUCUGUCCUUCUCACCCACUGGACCAUAGCAGGAGUCCUAGGCAACGUCACUUUGUCCUGGCCUAUGUUAGAUCACUUGAUUAAGGUGGUGACACGAGACUGCUCCAGUUCAAGUUAUUGAAGGCAAGAAAGGUGCUUCCUACUCUUUGCAAAAAAAGGCACUGCUCAUACGCCCAGCAGACAAGCGUCUUUCUGAGGAACCAGGGGAGACAGAUUUUGAGCAAUUGAUGGAGAGGGUGUGAAACUACUCUGAGGGCACCAUGCUCUGGCAGGCUGUUUUUACUGUGUAAGGCAGUGCAGCGGGCAGUGCCCACACUCUGAUGAUGACUGUCCCGGAUUCUACGGAGUGGCAGCCACUUACUAGCCAUGUGGUCUGGGGAAAUCAAGAAAAAGCUCUCUUCUUCUCCUUCCUCUCUCAAGAGCAGGGCUGCAUCUCCAGUCUCUGGCACAGAGUAGGCCUUGAUAAAUAAUCAACGAAUGGAUGGAAGGAUGGAUGGAUGAAAGAAUGAAAGCAAGCCCAUUUCUGACAGGCUGAAUCAAUUCCUGAGCCCAGUUUUAAAAAGAGACCAGAGGAACAAAUAUUACUCUCCUGCUGAUAAAAAACACUUUAAACUCCUCAGAAGGCAAGACCCUGCUGCUGGGAAUCUAGAAGCCAGAGCUAGCAGAAUAACUGCCAGAGAACAUUCCAGAACGUAGGUCUGCUCCAGUCCAAGAAUAUCUCGGCAUGAACCUGUUUUACAAGUACCUACAAGUCGGGAGGCAUCAGACUUUCCUAGAAAAGUCCCAGAAACCUCACUAUGUCGGUGACAAAGAGAGACUUUUCCUGUCUAGACACCACAAUGCUUGUAAUUAAAAUUAAGAUUUAGGAGGUGGAGGGAGGCAACACACACUCCUUGAAGACAAUCUCAAAAAUCCAGGUAAAUGCUCCACACAUAAAAAUAAUCUCUAAUCUUGGCACCAAGGGAUAGAAUAGGCCAACAUACCUCCUUCGAGUCUGAAAUGGAUUUCAAAAUCAACCAAAGCUGCCCUGCCAGUGCUAGCUAACACAACCGACAAUACUGACAGGUAAGUGCCUGGGUGGUGAGAGGUGGGCUGCUGCGAUCAGGGGCUCCUGAACACCGCAUGUUCAAUUAAUUCGUGCAGCUUGAAAUACAACCCCCACUCCCGGAAAACAAAAAUAAAAUUAAAAUUAAAAAAAAACCAUGCAGAGCCCAGAAAGUUAGGCCCUGGACAAACAGGUCUGGGUGUUAAACUUGCUAAGGCAAAUUGAACAAUUUAAGAGCUUCCGGCCCAGCCAGCUGUCUGACAGGCAGUUUACACAAAAUCCCUCCCCUGAAACAGCUCUAAGCCUGCCAGUCUGCAGAGAUGGGAACAGGAAAUGGAAAAUCACCAUGUCCUCUGCUCACUGUGCUGUGACAUUCGAGCCCCGUGCCCAGAUUUGCUCAGCAUGGCCCUCACUAAUGUGACAGACCACCUUUUCCAGUUGCCCUGUGCCGCGUGGCCACCACGCAAACGUCACUGAUUAGAGAAGCACCAUUGAUGUCAUGGCAGUGUUUUGGAAGAAAGAUAAGCAAUAGUCACUUUAAUUGCACACAUCAAAUGUAAGACCUGUUCUGAUUCCUGAAAUGUUCAAACAUUGAAAGGCUCAAGCAUUUCAAAUGCUCUCCACGGCAGGGAGGAAAUGGAGUUUCCUCCUGACCACUCUUGCAUGAGAUGUAGGGAGCUAUUAAAUUAUCUCCUGCAAGGGCGUUGCCACGUUUCCUUGCAGAUUUAGGUUUAAUUCUAUCAAUAAAUCUCAUGUUUUGUCAGAAAUACACCCCUGAAAAAGACCACCUGGAAAUAUUGCCCCAUUUGCAGCUGCUGCCUACAAUUAGAGCUGUGGAGGCAUCUCAAGCAUUCCCAGUUUUGGGGAGAGCUGAUGUGUUUAACUUCUCCAGGCUAGGAAGCAGCAUAUUCAUUCAUCCUUGUCGACCAGAAAGGAUUAAGACUGCUUUCAAGUUUCUGAAAUCUCCAGUGGGGAGACCCCAUCCCGUCCCCUGCCUUGUUGUCAAAGAAGCUGCUUUUCAGAAGCAACAGUUGCCAAGUAAUCAAAGCAGGGGUGAGUGGGGGAUGGAGGAUGCAAAGGGGAGUGAUGCUGGUUUACUGGGAGGAAGACAGGCCUCUCCUAGAAUCUCCUGAAGCCCCACUGCAGGUACCUGGCAGGCAAUAGCUUUUAGUGGUAUCUGCCCUAAGACAUGAGGCUUAACAGGCACUAAAAGCAAUCAGUCUGGAAAGGAUUCCUUGUCUGUGCUUCCUGGAUAGGGAAAGGCAGAAAUGCAGGGCAAAGUCUCUCGUGGCUGGGAGCACAGAAGAGAAGCCUCAAGUGGACACGGGUGAGGGGCCAGGAUGGAGAAGAGACAUUGCUUGUUCUUUUAUAGUUUAUUGUUUAGGUAGAGAGUAAGUCAAAUAAAUGUUUUUCUGGAAGGCAGCUGUGCUCACCACUGUACCACCAAUGCUAACAGUUCCAAAGGCUCCCACAAAUGAAGUUAAAUUUAGGGAAAAACGGGUCUCAUCAGCUGUUAGUUGAGUUAAAACUUCCGUAAGGCAAUUUGGCACUACUUAUCAAAAUCUUCAGUGUACCUACCUGUUGACCAAAACAAUUCCACCUCCGGGAAUUUAUCUUACAGACAGACUCAUGUAAGUUUGCAAAGAUACAGGGAAAAAGCCAGUCACUGUCAUAUUGUGUACAGCAGUGAAAAAAACAGAUGGCAACCUGAAUGUCCAAAAAUAGAGAAAUCAUUACAUAAAUGACAGUGUUUAUAAAACAAAGGACUUUGCAGUCAAUAAAAAGAGUGAAGUAAAUCCACAAGCGCUGAUGGAAAAAGAGGUUCCCUAACAUACUAUGAAGAAAGCACCUUUAGCAGUAACCGAGCUGUGUAAAUAUAUCUGGUCAAUUCUUGUUAUUCAUGUCAGUUAUGCUCUAUAAAGCCAUUGUGAACACUGAAUUAGUGAAUACUGAACCACUGCUCCUAGGGGAAGGUACAAGGUUAGGUUCCUGCAAGGCUCUGAUCACAACAUUUCAACAACUGAUCAGCCCAUAACUUUGUGUUGUGUAUUUGUUUAAUGCAUUAAUUCAUUAAUAUUGAACUCAUGGCCAACAGCAUUAUAACUUCUGCCUGAACACAGCUUCUCUAACAGAGGCUUUUUUCUACAAGGCACAUCACAGCCUUCUUGACCUUGGGAGCUCUAGACAGCACUUCAGCUCUAUUCUUGGAGACCUGUUGACACCAAAAUCACCAACAAAAAGCACAAAAAUAUGAAAAAUGUGGCACUAAGUCCACUAAAAACACAUUUGUUUAUAGUGUGAGAGGUGAAAGAAGAAGGCAGAGUGCUUCUUACUGGGUCUCAGCUUGGAAUAUGGGUAUGGGUCAAUCCAUAUGGGAUGCACAGCUCUGUGCGUGUUUGCGAAGCACCACGAAAGUGCCGCCACUUUUUUUUUUUUUUU